UGUUCAAAAUUUAUCUAUUUGUACUAUUAAAAAUUGACAUGAUUAACGAAAUAAUUAGACAAUGAUAUGUGACGUGUCAUGUGUACCUCAUGUUGAAGUACAAGUAUCACUUUUUAAUAGUACAAAUGAAUAAAAUUUUCAACA
rfam:Gossypium hirsutum cultivar TM-1 chromosome 9, whole genome shotgun sequence